rnacentral:rRNA from 1 species
GAUCAAAGCUUACCAUGGUUGUAACGGGUAACGGGGAAUCAGUGUUCGAUUCCGGAGAGGAAGCCUGAGAAACGGCUACCACAUCCACGGAAGGCAGCAGGCGCGAAAAUUACCCAAUACCGGUUCGGUGAGGUAGUGACAAUAAAUAACAAUAUGGGCCCUAGUGGUUUCAUAAUUGCAAUGAGAAUAUUUUAAAUACUUUAUCAAGUAUCAAUUGGAGGGCAAGUCUGGUGCCAGCAGCCGCGGUAAUUCCAGCUCCAAAAGCGUAUAUUAAAGUUGUUGCAGUUAAAAAGCUCGUAGUUGAAAUUGAGGUAACGAUUUGUUAAGAGGUUUAUGACCGAUUUUCGAAUUGUCCUUCUAAGUCGUGUAUAUUGGAGAGUCACUUUACUGGGAUUUUUCAAUAACCGACAAGUUUACUUUGAAAAAAUUAGAGUGCUUAAAGCAGGCUUAUGCUUGUAUAUUGUUGCAUGGAAUAAUAGAAUAAGACUUCGGUUUUAUUUUGUUGGUUUUCGAAACUGAAGUAAUGAUUAAAAGAGACUGCCGGGGGCAUAUGUAUGCUGGUGCUAGAGGUGAAAUUCUGAGACCAUCAGCAGACAAUCUACUGCGAAAGCAUUUGCCAAGAAUGUUUUCAUUAAUCAAGAACGAAAGUCAGAGGAUCGAAGACGAUCAGAUACCGUCCUAGUUCUGACCAUAAACUAUGCCAACUGACAGUUAGCGAUGAUAUUUAUUAAUCUCGCUAGAAGUCACCGGGAAACCAAAGUCUUUGGGUUCCGGGGGAAGUAUGGUUGCAAAGCUGAAACUUAAAGGAAUUGACGGAAGGGCACCACCAGGAGUGGAGCCUGCGGCUUAAUUUGACUCAACACGGGAAAUCUCACCCGGUCCGGACACUGUGAGGAUUGACAGAUUGAUAGCUCUUUCUUGAUUCGGUGGGUGGUGGUGCAUGGCCGUUCUUAGUUGGUGGAGCGAUUUGUCAGGUUAAUUCCGAUAACGAACGAGACUCUGACUUGCUAAAUAGUGGAUUUAUUUUAAUUCGUAAAUAAUCACUUCUUAGAAGAAUAAAUAGCGUUUAGCUAAAUGAAAAAGAGCAAUAACAGGUCUGUGAUGCCCUUAGAUGUCCGGGGCCGCACGCGCGCUACAAUGGCAGUUCCAACGAGUUUGUUCUGACUAGAAAUAGUUGGGUAAUCUUGUGAAACACUGUCGUAACAGGGAUUGUGAAUUGAAAUUAUUUCACAUGAACGAGGAAUUCCUAGUAAGCGCAAGUCACUAGCUUGCGCUGAUUACGUCCCUGCCCUUUGUACACACCGCCCGUCGCUACUACCGAUUGAAUGGUUUAGUGAGAUUGUUGGAUUCUGAUCUAAGAAAUGGCAACAUUUCUAUGAAUGGGAAAAGACACUCAAACUUGAUCAUUA